rnacentral:lncRNA from 1 species
UACCUGAGUUGUAGAUUCUGAUUUGGGUGGGACCACAAGAAUGAGUAAUGGUAGAGUUGCCGAAUACAGGUAGUAUGUGUACUGUUAUGUUUAGUAGGUCCUGUGGAAGACAGAAUACUAAAAGAUGGAAAAAUCUGUUUGCCUUUAUCCCUCAGGGGUUCCUUGUGGAGGCCCACCCAGAAAAUGCCUGCAGUCCUAUUGCCCCACCACCCUCAGCCCCAGUCAAUGGGUCAGUCUUUAUUGCACUGCUUCGAAGAUUCGACUGCAACUUUGACCUCAAGGUUGCUGAAUGGGGAACGGGUGGUAGUAAGCAGGGUAAAAUGACACCAGGAAUGAAGAAAGGCAAGGUUUGCAACUCUGUCCUGCUUUGUCUUUUUAGGUCCUAAAUGCUCAGAAAGCUGGGUAUGGUGCAGCUGUGGUACACAACGUGAAUUCCAAUGAACUUCUAAACAUGGUGUGGAAUAGUGGUGAGGAUGAAGAAGUCUGUACUGCUGGGUCUCUCCAUAUAGUUCAGUGGGAGGGCUAAAGACCUACAGGGCAGUUGGUUGAGACCUGCAAAAUGUGCCUAAAGCCAGUUUCAGGGGAUUGAGGAAUGGAAGGUUAAAUCCCUAAUCUCCUGCUCCCUACAG